GCAUCAGCAAGAUUUGUACAAUUUGGCAACAGAAAUAACAGUCAAUAGCAUUAACAAAGUCAACAAAUAGGUUGUUAUAUAAAGAAAAAUUACUAAAAAAAUAACAAGCAUUAAAAAUUCAUCAACUUCUUUUCUUAUAUACCUAUUGAUACAAGUAUGUAAAAAUAGAAAGAAAUUAGAAAAGUCAAAGCCCUAUAGAACAUCAAGAAUUUAGGAUGUACUUAGGUGAGGUUUUGGAAUUUGUGUCAAAUGUUUCGGACUCCUUGGUGUUUUUCCAUCAAAUGCAAUGUAAAAUAUUUUGCCCCAUUACACCCAUUUAUUUUUUCAUAUAAGACUUAUUAGCUUAUGAAAGGUCAUUUACCAAAAUUUUAGAAGAUUCUUGAUUUUCUUUCUUUUGUUUUGAGACCCAAAUAAUACUAAUACAAACAUAAGGUAAAAGUCUGAGUCAGCCUUUCCUGCCAUAUUUUAAAUAUCAAAUAUCACGAAAAGGAGGUCCAUGACCUAUCUAUAUUUUUAGCUUAUCUUUAUCCUUAAUCGAUGCUUUACCAGCUUAUAGUAUCAAUUUUAAUUUCUUAAUUUCUUAAUUUUUACCUAACCUCACCCAAGAACAUCCUUAAGUUUUAAAUAAAUCCAUCAUCACAUGAUCAGUGUUAGAUAUGAAUUGAGAUCAAAAUAACUCCUGAUUGUAUAUGCAGCAUUCCUUAAACACAGGGUGUAGUAUACAGAGUAAUUUAAAUGGUUCUGUAAAUUUCAGCAUUUUUUUGUUAUAUAAUUAUUGUAGAUUCAUUGUUAUUUGCAGAAAAUGGAUAAUCACAAUUUUUAGAGUUCAACAAAAUAUAUGUUUCCUACAGAUGCAUGAAGUAUUUGUUGAAAUCAGGAAAUCAAGUAACAACCAAUUUUUUGUUAAUCCAUGAACUUUUAUAUCCAAGAAAAUAAUAAAUCCAUAGGAGUACAGUAUAUUAAAUAAAACACCAAAGUUUGUUAUACUGUUUCUUUUCUGCAAACAAACCUUGUUUUGAAUAAAAGAAUCGAAAUCAAAAUCUCAUAAACAAGGAAUUUGAUGACAGCUACAAAUAAUGUAUUGUGAAUGUCAAACAUUUCCUAAUUGAUUUAAAAAAAUGGUAUGAUAAAACGUACAUAAUUUUUAUCAAGCUUUUUCCAUCAACACAUGGUUAGUAAGAACCAGAACUGUACAACAACAGUUGAUAUACAAAUAACUAUAUAAAAAAGAAGAUGUGGUAUGAUUGCCAAUGAGACAACUCUCCACAAAAGACCAAAUGACACAGUAAGUUUUAUCAGCUACUAAUAUUAUAGAAUGUACUAAAAAGACUUUGUUUCAAAUUAUUCAUAACUUCAACAAACCCGUAUUUUAAAUAUUGAGAGUCUGUCUGAUACUAGUUUUUUUUUUAAAGCAAUUUAAAUAGAUUCUUUUUCCUGGACUCCAAGAUGUACUAAUGAUGAUUUAUGAAUGUCAGAUUGUAAUGCCCUCAAAUAUUAAAUGAAAUGAUGAUUUGAUAACCCGUUCAAUGAGGAAUCCCUAGAAUGAGUAUUAUUUAAUUCCCCUUCACCAUAAUUUUUUUUUUUUAAAACUUAGAAUAUAGGGUCAGGACUGAGAAAACUAUGACUGGUCAUUUUGUUAUUGCCCCUUUAAAUGCUACAGAUUAUAAAUAAGAUAAUAUUUACAACAGCACUUCUUCUACAUGUUCUAUCAAUAUUAAUACAUGUAGCACAGAAAAAAAACAACAUACGAAAAAAAAAUGCUUCUGUGGUUUGCGAAAUAUAUAUAUGUAAAUAAUGCCAUUCAUAAUCAUUUUUGGUUUGCUGUUUAGAAACUGACAUUAUAAAAUGUUUAAAUAAAUAUAAGUAUACUAAGUAAAAAAAGCUUAGCAACAAAUAUAUAUAAUUUUAUUUUUUGCCAUUCAAAUAUAAACUAUCUUUCAAACCAAACACUAAACUAUUGACAUAAG
rnacentral:lncRNA from 1 species